UUAAUAUAAUAAUAAAUUUAUUGUUUUAAUAGAAAGUGAAAUUUAUAAUUAAAUUAUAAUAAUUAUUUUUAUUAUAUAAUAUUAAAAUUAUAAAGGUAUGGAUAUAAACCAGGAUUAGAUACCCUGUUAUACUUUACUGUUAAUAAUUUACUUGAGUAGUAAUCAGCUAUGAUCUUGAAACUUAAAGGAUUUGGCGGUAUUCAAGUCUAGUUAGAGGAACCUGCUCUAUAAACGAUAUGCCACGUAAUAUCUUACUUUUGUUUGUUAUUCAGUUUGUAUACCGCCAUUAAUAAGUAAUGUUAAUAAAUAUAUUCUGGAAUAAUAUUAUUUAGUAUAUUAGGUCAAGGUGCAGCUAAUGUAAAAGAAGAAGUGGGUUACAAUACAUUAUAUGUGCGGAUAAAUAAAUUAUAAUUAUUUUAAAGUUGGAUUUAAUAGUAACAUUAUUUUAAUAUGAUAGUUUGAUAUUAGCUCUAGAAUAUGCACACAUCGCCCGUCGCUCUCAUUA
rnacentral:rRNA from 1 species